GAGGAAGCAGCUAGCUGUUAACCUCACCCGUGUCCUGGCACUCUACCGUUCCAUCUUGGAUGCCUACAUCAUCGGCCAUCUCUCCCGCUUCAUGGCUCUUGGCCUGGGGUUGAUGGUGAAGAGCAUCGAAGGGGAUCAGAGACUGGUGGAGAGAGCCCAGCGCCUGGACCAGGAGCUUCUGCAGGCUCUGGAGAAAGAGGAGAAGAGGAACCCGCAGAUAUGUGCAGCGGGGGCUACAGCGAGUGGGGCUAGAUCCCCAGCUGCCACUGAAUCUGGCUGCCCUUCAGGCCCACGUGGCCCAGGAGAACCGUGUGGUGGCCUUCUUCAGCCUGGCUCUACUGCUUGCCCCACUGGUGGAGACGCUUAUUCUACUGGACCGGCUGCUGUACCUUCAGGAACAGGGUUUCCAUGCUGAGCUCCUGCCCAUCUUCAGUCCUGAACUCUCUCCCAGAAACCUGGUUCUGGUGGCCACCAAGAUGCCCCUGGGUCAGGCUCUUUCUGUUCUGGAGACUGAAGACAGCUGAUGCAGCCUGAGGAAACAUCUCAGACCCCAUCAUCUGAAAGUGCCCAGAGAGCACAGUGGCAGAGUACAUCUCAUCCAGAGAAACAGCAUCCUGCAUCCUCCAGAGUCCUGGUUCCUUCAGUUUCAUCCCCUUUCUCUCCUUCCAUGGAUUAUGUAAUACAUUGUAAAGUUUUAAUUAAUUAAAAAUUGGAUAUCUGUU
rnacentral:lncRNA from 1 species